rnacentral:lncRNA from 1 species
AUGACCCCUCCGGUGCUCGAGCAUUGUUAGCGCGUGAGCAGUUUAUGCUUAACGCUAAUUGGCCUGUGGACAGGCCAGUCUAUGGUGAGGGGGUGGACGCUGAAGCUGAGAAUGAUGAUGAUGAUGUUGAUGAUGAGGCUACCGGUUCUGAGGCCGGUAGCGAGGAGGAGUCCUGAGCCCUUUGUGGGUUAAGUUUUUGUAUUUGUAUUUCAGUUUUUAUUAUGUCAUUUCCAUUUGUAUUUUCGAAUUUUGUAUUUUGACCAUGGGUUGUACUAUUGGGGUGUUUUGUCCCCCACGAACAAAUUUUUAUUUUCAGUUAAUGUUAUUUAAUUAUGUUUUUAAUUUUGUGUGUUUAAUAAAUUUUUGGUUGAAUGAGUGGCAAACCCUUCUAGAUUGGUUGCUCCUCAAGAAGUACCCAAUGAAGGUGCAUCCGAGCUUGG